rnacentral:rRNA from 1 species
UGGGGAAUAUUGCACAAUGGGCGCAAGCCUGAUGCAGCGACGCCGCGUGCGGGAUGGAGGCCUUCGGGUUGUAAACCGCUUUCGUUCAAGGGCAAGGCAGGCUUUCGGGCCUGUUGAGUGGAUUGUUCGAAUAAGCACCGGCUAACUACGUGCC